CUUCACCAAUGCAAUCUAGCUAGCUAGUAGCUACAAUCUUGUUGAAACACACACAGCUUCCACACGUACUGACAGAAGCCAGCAGCUAAGACGAUCAUCAUCCGAUGGACAGCAACACCAACAGCACGCAGCCUCCCCCGGGCUACCCGAGGCUGGACGCUGAGCAGAACGGCCACGGCAAGAAGAAGAAGCAGGGGUGCUGCGGGCUGCGGCGCCGCACGACGACGACCAAGCGCGGCGAGGCGAGCUUCAUCGAGGGAUGCAUCGCUGCGCUCUGCUGCUGCUGGCUCUGCGAGCUCUGCUGCGAUUAAUGGCUAGCCCAUGCUCAACCAAGCAAGAACGCCGUGCACCGGCAAGCAAGCAAGUUAAUUAAUAUAUAUAUUUAGUUUGGUCUCGAUCGAGAGGAGAUUAAUCUCGAUGCUCGAAGGAUGGUUGCUUAUGAUGUAAUGUAAUGCGUUGUACUUUAUUUACUCGUGUUUCUCUGUUGUGAUCCUUGGAACAGAAAAUCUAUAUGAAUGUUUAACAUACAUGAUA